rnacentral:sRNA from 1 species
UCCUACACUACGUUUGCCGGUUCGCAGUC